AGAAAGAGAAACUUCCAUUGCUAACAUGAAGCCAAAUUGUCCUAAACAGAAGUCUUGAGACUUCUCUUCUUUUGGUGUGGAUUCUGGAACUCCUUUCUGAAGCAAGAGGCAAAUAUCUCUCAGCAGAGAAUGCCAAGACCAAUCACUUAACCAUGGCAGUCUUCCUCGGCAUGUUAAUUCCGACCCUGAUGGUCCCAAGAUGGCUGCAGCAGUUUCAGCCAUGUUAUCCUAACCCACCAACAUCUGAAGGUAUCUAUCUUUUCCAUCUCCAUCUAUUAAAAAUGUAGGAUACUUUUACCAGAAGGUCCUCCUCUAGACUACUACUCAUGUUUCAUUGGACAAAUUUGGUCCCAUGGAAUUUCUUAAGUCAUUUACUGAUGAGGGAAGUGGAAUUAUCAUGACUGGAUUAGACUACCUAAGAUUCACCACUCCUGAGCCUGGAGAAAGAUCAUUUUCUCAGAGCAAACAACUGCAUAUGGCUAAAGAUAGAAAUGAACUAUAAAACAAAACUGGAGUCCUCCAGGAAAGAAAGGGGGAAUUAAAGGGAAACAAUUGGGUAGGCAAAACACAACAGUCUUCAAUGCCAAAUAAACUUUGUUUUGUUACUCUCCCA
rnacentral:antisense_RNA from 1 species